AAUACACAAAAAUUCCUCAAUACGCCUUUUCAAUUCAGGCAGAUGAAUCGUAAAUACACAAGUUGACAGCCCCUCGGUCAACAAAAGGUCCGAUGUACGGAAUCUGUCAAGUUGAGAAAAAGUGGACAUACGACCUGUUUGUUGGCAGCCUGAAACUUAUUCCUUUGACGAUAAUAUAUAAUAUUUUUAUUUUACCAAUUUACCUAUGUAUGUACAGUCAAUAAAUUAAACAAAAGAAAUUAUGAUGGAAUGCAACUCCGAGUACAUGGACCAUUACAGGAUCCGUCAGAGAUAGAUCCCUUAUCUCAUCAAGCCCUUUCAAGCUAGCGAGCCACCUAAGAUGUAUGAUGUAGGCUGCUGCUCCUUCAAGUCCGCAGAUGAUUUCACAUAGUGCCAGCUCUGUGAUAGUGUGCUUGUGCCAUCGAGAAGAUGUGGAUAUUCCGACUGUUGCCACUAAGGGAGUCGAAUUCGGUUCGAACGAGUUCCGGACUGUGCGCCGUUGAUGGCAUUCUGUGUUCUGAUUUGACACACACUGCCAUCGUGCCAUUAGAUUUUGUCAAGCAUCAUAUGAAGGCCAGUGCUGCUAAAUACAAGAUUCUGCUCCACGGGUUCAAGGUCGCUGUUGCUCAAGAGAGCAUCCACGGUGAGGCCAAGGAUGGGCUCCAAUGUUCUUCGAAUAUUAGGUACAGGAUGCUAUUAAUUUUGAUCUGUGUGAAUUAUUUAAAAUCCAGUACGCCAAUAUGAUGAACAAUGUGUAUUUGGCUGCAUCCGCCUUGACUGGAUUCUUCACCGACAUUGCCCUGUCGCCAUUGAAAGCUGCUUAAAUCAAGAUUCAGACAACUCGGCUAUGCCGACUGCACCAAGCGAGAACAAUAAUUGAUGGUCACAUUUGCCGCACAACCCGGCUAAGAGAUCCAGCACUAUCAAUGUGGCCAUGAAGCUCAGUUUCAUAGGCAUGUGGAAUGUUCUGAUGCCGCUCAUGAUCAUGAUACAAUGGUGCCAAUACCAGGAACUAAUAACCGGGACCCGACACUCGGAAUUUUUCGGUGUUGCGCCUAAUUCUAAAUCGGUGUGUAGGAGUCCUAGGUAUACAACUGAAAAGACACUAUUCAAUGCUGUCAAUUAUCUGAUUUUCCGCCAAUAUUUUCUCUCGGUGCAUAACUGACAGCAUUGAUAUUUUUUUAUUUUUUCAUCAGAUCUGUCAAGUUUUGUCAAUUUGUUUUUCUUCCUACAGACCAAUUGAGUGCAUUUUUUAUUUUCUUAAUUGCACGUUUAUUAAUUAUAGUUUAUUAAAUAGAACAUUAAUCGUUUAAUAUAAACUUUUUGAGAUGAAUUAUUAAGUAGCACAAUAAGCCUUUACUUAUUUAAUACCACAAACAUACAGUUACAUCUUUGCACGACUGAUACUGCGUUUGGACCACGGUUUGGACAGGUUUGCUAACAACUCCCAAUAGUCGCCUGGAAACGACCAUCACUACUUGCUGGAUAUUCUGGAAGUCCCUGCAUCGAAUCACAUCGACGAUGUUCUUUCCGGUGGCUUGAAGAGCUCGAAUCGCAGUGCAUUGAAUCUAAAUUCUGCUAAGGAACUGCCAGUAGUGCCUGAGAGUGCAAUCAAUCGGAAGCGAACGAUUUGACAAUGUCGCUGUACGCCAUCAAUAUUGUCGCCGUCUGCAUCAGUCGUUAUGACCUCGAUUAUGACUACGGGAAACACAAUCGUGAUCUACAUUACGUCUGCACGGGCUGCAGUUCUCGUCAACAGUCGCCGGGUCAGAAUAGACGAUAUCACGAUGUGCAAUUUUAUGUUACGGUCGCCGAAGUAGGCGCUUCAUCCAAGGAUUACUCACUUGAACAGCGGAAAGCUUCAGUAUAUACUGGACGUUAAAUUAGUAACUGGUUUGCACUUCAUCCAGAUCCUGACGGCCUCAAUGAGGAAAACAACCUGAUUCUUUUGUUGGUUGGGGUAGCUCUGAGGAUCCGUUGGCUCACUGCUGAUCCAGUUGUUUGAGCACCGCUUCCCACUCGGAAUCAUUUGCUAACUGAUGGCACCCGACAAUUCGCAAUAGUUUUGGAUUUAUUGUGCAACUUUUCAAAUAAUCCCGGAAAAGCGCCUUAAUUUCAAUACCAAUAUUAUGGUAUUAUUUCGGUCGUAAAAAAACUAGAGCAAUUUGUGGACGACUUUCCGAACGCCAGGACAAAGGAAAGUGAAGCAAAAGAGAGAAACGAUUUGCUGUAGGUGAUCCGAAAAUCGUUCCAGUAGUAAGUAAAAAGCUUACUAAUUCUAUGCCGAUAUCAUAAACUUACUUCGUAGGCUGACGAGAAUCUUUUCGGGAUACCGACGGGAAUCUUUUCGGGAUACACCUCUGCUAAACUAGCAGGAAAAAUCGAGCAGGAAAAAAGCUCUUUCAGUGCGCCACCUGUGCCUGAAUGCAUGAACUAUGAGCAGGUAAAAAUAUUUUCCCUGCUAACUUCACAUUUUGAGCUUUUUUCCUGCUAACUUCACAAUAUUGAGCUUUUUCCCGGCUGAGUUCACAGGUCGAGCUUUUUUCCUGCUGAGUUCGAAUUCGUGCAUUACGUAGUGAUAUUUUUAUUUUCAAAUGUUUUUAAUUAAAUAAUUGAUUAUUUGUUUUCAAAUAUAAUACAUGGAAUAACUUCUAGAAUGGUGAGUCAAGAUUAAAAAAUAAUUGUUUUAUUGAUGCCGGCAAAUUUCAAUGGGUUUAGGUAAUAUUUACAAUUACAUAUCAUAAUUAUACAGCAAUACAUAACGAUUUUUGAAAAUCUUAAAUUAAAAUUAGACAUGUUGAGUAAAAGUAAAAUAGGAUAGGUAAUGCUAAAUUUCAGAUUUGUCUAACUAAGAAAAUUUUUCAAUUAUGCUAACUAAUACUAAUAUGAAAUCAAGUUCAAAGUUUUCCUGAAACAAUUUAUCAAAUAUUGAGUGAAUAUUUUGGAAACGCUGAUAUUGCUUUUGGAAUUGGUAAUUGGUGCUUUAUAAAAAACGAUAGCCUGCUAGUAGGGUAUCUGUUCCUAUAUUAAUAACAGCCCGUAUAUUAAUCCCAACCGUCGAUAAACCAAAUAAAAAAUCAAUUUAUUUAAUAAGACUUUUAUUCAGUACAAUGUUGGUACUAAAAUUAGAAGCAUGGUUAUUUCAAAACGUCUUGAAAAUAGCUAGGGUACCUACUGAUGAAUUUAGAUAUAAGAUAUUCUGCUGGAAAGUAUUUAGUAUGCUGAAGUCUUGAAGCAAGUCCGUAUGAGUAGUUGUGAUACAUAAUAUGAAAACAAUGUUGUAAAAUGCUGUUUUUAGCAAAGAAGAAUGAAAAAUUAAAACAUGAUGAGUUGAUGCUUAUUAGGCGGAACUUUUAAAACGCGUCAACGUUUUUAUCCUGUUCGUAUACCUUUUGAGCAAUGUUGAAAAAAUCUGUUUUUAGUAAAAAGAUGAAUGAAGAAUUGAGACAUAACGAGUUUAUGCUUAUUAAGUGGAAUUUUUCAAACGCGUCAA